GAUGAACGCUAGCGGCAGGCCUAACACAUGCAAGUCGAGGGGCAGCACAGAAACAGCAAUGUUUUGGUGGCGACCGGCGGACGGGUGCGUAACGCGUAUGCAACCUACCUUUAACAGGGGGAUAACGGAGAGAAAUUUCCACUAAUACCCCAUAACAUCGAUCAAGGCAUCUUGAUUGGUUGAAGACUCCGGUGGUUAAAGAUGGGCAUGCGUUGUAUUAGGUAGUUGGUGAGGUAAUGGCUCACCAAGCCUACGAUACAUAGGGGGACUGAGAGGUUAGCCCCACACACUGGUACUGAGACACGGACCAGACUCCUACGAGAGGCAGCAGUGAGGAAUAUUGGUCAAUGGGGGCAACCCUGAACCAGCCAUGCCGCGUGCAGGAAGACGGCUCUAUGAGUUGUAAACUGCUUUUAAACAGGGAUAAAGCACAGUAUGUAUACUGUGUUGAAGGUACUGUAAGAAUAAGGAUCGGCUAACUCCGUGCCAGCCGCCGCGGUAA
rnacentral:rRNA from 1 species